UGUGAGAGUGGAAAGUUCACACUGUGACGGUAUCUUACCAGAAAGGGACGGCUAACUACGUGCCAGCAGCCGCGGUAAUACGUAGGUCCCGAGCGUUGUCCGGAUUUAUUGGGCGUAAAGCGAGCGCAGGCGGUUAGAUAAGUCUGAAGUUAAAGGCUGUGGCUUAACCAUAGUACGCUUUGGAAACUGUUUAACUUGAGUGCAAGAGGGGAGAGUGGAAUUCCAUGUGUAGCGGUGAAAUGCGUAGAUAUAUGGAGGAACACCGGUGGCGAAAGCGGCUCUCUGGCUUGUAACUGACGCUGAGGCUCGAAAGCGUGGGGAGCAAACAGGAUUAGAUACCCUGGUAGUCCACGCCGUAACGAUGAGUGCUAGGUGUUAGACCCUUUCCGGGGUUUAGUGCCGCAGCUAACGCAUUAAGCACUCCGCCUGGGGAGUACGACCGCAAGGUUGA
rnacentral:rRNA from 1 species